AAAACAUUAGAAACCGCGAGAUGGAAAUAGCGGCAAGAUUUGAUUUACCAAUGAACUCUUUUUCUGUAGAACCAGAGCAUUUGCCUCACAGUUUGGUUAAUUUAUUUUGUGUUCGUGCAUUUUUAGAAGUCCUAACGGUGAAUCGAGGUCGCUCUCUCCCAACGAUGGAUCUGCUACAGUCAGAGAGCCCAUGCAAAUAGUUCGAUUGCUCAUUCCAAUCGAAUCAGCUUAUCGAUCCAUCUCUUACCUCGGCGAUCUCAGCCUUUUCCAAUUCAAAGACGUGCGACUCCUCUUCAGUUCUCAUUGCUCUUGUUUUAGAUUCUUUUACACUGAAUUUUGAAACCUACAUUGCUAUGACAUUUGAUGCUCUGAUUCACUUUUCUCCGUUGUGUUUUGAUGCCUUCAUCUAUCUGAAUGUUAUUUGUUUCUUACAUUGGUAACUAUUUAUUUAAUUUUUUUUGUCAGCUUAAUGUAGAUAGUAUUAUGUCUUUCAGGAAACUUUAAGCUCCACACUAUUAAUUUUGGUAUCGUAGGCUAAUGGAAAUUAUCAAUGUUACUAAAAUACCCAAUAUCCUUGUACGUUUAACAGUUGUGAAAAAAUUCGUGGCAACAUAUUUAAGAGAAUUGAUUUUGAUUUUCUGAAUGGAAAAACUUAUCAUUUUAUCAUCAAGAUUAAAAUAUGUGAGGAAAUGGCGCGUAGGCUGCGGUUGUUUAAGGAACAAAUGGCGAAAGCAGGUGUAUCACCCUCAACAUGGCCGGCAGGUGAGGAUAAUGUUGAUCUGAAAAGUUUGGAGGUCGUUUUAUGCUCUGAAAAUUGUCACCGGUUCUUCUGUUCAAGAACGCAGUAUCUGGUGAUUAUUUUUUUGUUUGUCUUAGUUAAACUUGAAGAACUUGAACGUGAUCUUCAGAUUAACGCAAAUAAUGAGAAGUUGAAACACGCUUACAAUGAGCCAUCAGAGUAUAAACUUGUUCAAAAGAAGGUUGGCGAAUUUUUCUAUUCAGCAAAAAAUUAAUGCCGUAGCUCACCAGAAAAAGCUUGAAUUUCAGAUAACUGCUGAAAGAUCUAUUGACAGCCCAUUAUUAUUGGAACAGGAGAAGAUGACAACAAAGCAAAUUAAGCUGGGGUUUAUCGGUGGACUUGUUUCGAGGGAAAAAUCAGUUACAUUCGAAAAAAUUCUAUCGUGCUACUGGGGGAAACGUUUUUCUCAGACAGUCAAACAGGCUGUGGUUGAACAUUCUGUUCUUGAUCUUUUGUCAGGGCAGAAGGUUUCAGGAAGACUUGCAGAAUUGAAGACUCCAUGCAGGAUUGCUUCACCGGAGCACUCUAUUGCAGACAAUUGGAUAUCACUAUGAGCAGUGGAGCCUUCAGUUUUGUUUCAUUUUAGAUGAAAUUCACAAAGUAUUGCAGCAGUUCUCAAGUUGAGGCGAUAUUUCAGGUUUUAGGGACAAAGGAAUCACAGCCUGCCUAUUUUUGCACAAACAAUUCACUUAUUCUUUUCAAGAAAUAGUAGAUGCCUAUGGGUGCUUUAUGUAGCCCUCAGCAUGAGAAUUUCAAAUUUCAUUCUCCUCUCAUUGAAAAAAAUCCCCAUCAGAGUCGUCAAGUACCACGAAGCAAAUCCUGGUGUAUACGCAAUUAUCACGUUUCCAUUCCUUUUUUUGCUGGUGACUAGGGUCAUGGCAUAUGCCUACUACUGGCUGCUUUGUGUCUUGUAGUCAUAGAGAAACAAUUUUCCAGUCAGCUACUUAACUCAAAGUCAUUGAUUUUUUGUAGUCAAUCCGAAUAUUUCCUCCUAUUUUAUUUUAUGCCUCUAUCAUUUUGUUCAAUGUUGUUAAUAACGACAGAAACUUGGAGACUUAAUGGAAAUGGCUUUUGGUAUACGCUAUGUUAUUACGAUGAUGGAACUCUUCUCAAUAUGAACUGUCCACUGUUUCAUUGAUGUUAGCUUGUCUUACUACUUUUGGCACUUGUUUUUUGUACCAUGGAUGCUAGCACCGAAGCCGUUUCUCCUGAAGAAGCAACAUCAAGAAAGGCAUCAAGGUUAAUCUUACUCUUUGCUAUACAAGACGGAUGAUCCUGUCGAAUCAGAGUCACAUAGUGUUCCCCGUGACCAUGAUGAGUUUGACUUCAGCGAGGUUUUGGUGCACCAACUCAUACAUAUAAUCGAAUUUGCGCUUGGAGCUGUGUCUAAUACAGCUUCGUAUCUACGUUUUCGGGCCCUCAGGUUGGUAGUUGAAAGCCUUCGAUUCUUGUCUGUAAAAUUUUGUUUCAAUUAAUCAAAAUUCAACAUAGACAUGGAAAUUGCCUUUUGAUGAACUUGCAUCCCGUGGAUGGCAAGAACUUGAAUGAAGUCCAACGGGCUUUGGAAUCCUGAUAUCGCCUUAAGAAUGGAAGAAACCUCCGAAAAUUACUUGGUUUUUGAAGGAGUGUGAAACCAUCAUCUUUUGAUUGUACACAGCCUAGUAAUUUCGUGAAUUGAAUGCAUCGCCCCUUGGUUAGAUUUUUAUAGAUAGGCAAAUGUAGGCAUUUUAUCAUGGACGAAACCAUAAAAGACAGUAUAAAACCUAUAUCUUGUAACUUACCAGUCAGUAAGCCCACAUAUCUUGGUUAGGUCCACAUGUAUGUGUUAUUGAUUUGAUAACAAAGUUAUCAUUAGCUCUGAUGAAGAAACCUCGACACUAAUUUCUUGUCCUUUUUAUUGUGUAAGCAAGUUUCAGGAUCGGGCCCCUUUUCUGUCAUUUCAAGGGUUGGUUGCUUGGAAAUUCUAGUCAGGGUAGUUAAUUGACAAAAACUGAUACGGUUUUAUUGUCGUCCACGCAUUAGUUGCAGCUACUUGUUCUACAAGAUUUUCAUACCAUUUUAUUUUAGAUAAAUAGUGACUGGUGUAAAAAUAGAAAAAGAUUUAUCUGGUAAGAAAAUUAUUGGAAAUAUGGUGAAUUAAUGUUUGAAUUUUCUUUUGAAGAUACUUCUUUAUUUAUUACCCGACAAUGCUUCAAUUGUUUCUAAAAGAUGAUAUUUGUGGGAAAGGGAAACACUUGUUUGAUAAUUAAUCAGAGAAGCAUUUAGUGCAUAUUUGAUGUUCCUCAACUUUUAAGGCACUUUUAGCUCAACCCUUUAUUGUAAACCGUUCUACUUUAAAUAAAUCGUAUCCUUUCAUUAUAAUUUUUUCCUUGUAUUUUGGUUUUGUUCAGCUUAAGCUUAGCUUAUUCGGAACUGUCAAGUCUUUUCUAUGACAAAGUUCUGCUUCUGGUCUGGGUUACGUUCUUUAGUUGGGUUAUAGAAAAGUGGCGGGCCAUUAAAGAAGGUAUAAUAACACUAUUAUUCUCAUUGUUGGCAUUUUUGUUUUCUGUGCAACUGUUCUGUGUUAUUCAUAAUGGAAACUCUAAGUGCUUUCUUGCAUGUUUUGAGACUUCAAUGGGUGGAGUUCCAGAACAAAUUCUACGAGGUAUGACAAGUUCUUCUCGUUUUUAUUUACAUGAUGAGGAUGAGCUGUAAGUUUGGAAAUGCUAGAUGAUUUCCAAAUAGAUAGAAAUACGACAGCUUAACUUGUCGUAUAUGUAAAACUAUCCUACAUGAUUAAAAUCAGGCCCUACACAAUUGAAAACCUAUCUUUCCAGCAUGAAGAAAGACAGUUAAGUCCAGGAAUUGUUUUGACCCGUUAGUUCUUGCUGUUUACAGACCACAUAUG